rnacentral:ncRNA from 1 species
CGAUAGCGGAUAGUACCGUGAGGGAAUGGUGAAAAGUACCGCGGGAGCGGAGUGAAAUAGUACCUGAAACCGUGUGCCUACAAGCCGUGGGAGCGUCGCUGUAUGUGCUUGCACAUGCAGUCGUGACUGCGUGCCUUUUGAAGAAUGAGCCUGCGAGUUAGCGGUGUGUAGCGAGGUUAACCCGUGUGGGGAAGCCGUAGCGAAAGCGAGUCCGAACA